CCAGGAUUGUACGAGGAUGGGAAGUACAGAAGCUCCACUCCUCCGACGUGCGAAAUGCCUGGGAGCAGAGGACCCUGAGCACCGUUCUGCGCAGUGAGCGCCCAUCAGUCCCAACUAGAAAUGAGCUAAAGCUUCAAAGAUCAGCUCAUAACCCAUGAUCCCCAAAAGUCCAUGCUGAAGCCUGAAUAAUUUAGAAACAUCUAAUCUACAGAGGCUGCAAAGAGCCGCUGCAUCAAGAGUAAUUUCAGUUAGUAUAAAACAUAAACUACUCAGCAGCAUGCUCCUCGAGGGACAUCUGCAAGAUCAGAAAUCAGACGUUAUUUAAUCUGUUCGGCUGAAGGAGGGAGAGCACAAAAGAAAUAGAAAACCUGGAGCCUGACUGGGAUCUGGGUCAGAAAGAGGACACUGGUAGGUAUGAGGAUGAUUUUUCCUAACCAUCUUAACAAAACUCUGAACCAUCUGAGUUUUUCUGAGCAUUAUUCACAGUUUAUUUAUAUCAGCCUUAGUAUGCUAGCUGUGAGCAGGGCAAGAGAAAAGGGCAGCAGCAGCACUGCUUGAAUGUGACCUGGAUAAAGUACUUCCCAUAGCCAGUAACGAGGCUGAUUUAACUAAAAUGAAAAAGUGUCAGCUCUGCUGGCAUUAGGAUUUCGAUCCUACCCAUUGUGUUUGCCAUGUAUGGAUGGAUAUAUAGCCUGGAGAGGGUGUUUGCAAAGGCAUUUUACCAAUUUUCCUAAAUCCUCCUUCUAUGCCCUGUUAGGUAAAUGAACGC